rnacentral:rRNA from 1 species
AGCGAACGCUGGCGGCAGGCUUAACACAUGCAAGUCGAGCGGGCGUAGCAAUACGUCAGCGGCAGACGGGUGAGUAACGCGUGGGAACGUACCUUUUGGUUCGGAACAACCCAGGGAAACUUGGGCUAAUACCGGAUAAGCCCUUACGGGGAAAGAUUUAUCGCCGAAAGAUCGGCCCGCGUCUGAUUAGCUAGUUGGUGAGGUGACGGCUCACCAAGGCGACGAUCAGUAGCUGGUCNGAGAGGAUGAUCAGCCACAUUGGGACUGAGACACGGCCCAAACUCCUACGGGAGGCAGCAGUGGGGAAUAUUGGACAAUGGGCGCAAGCCUGAUCCAGCCAUGCCGCGUGAGUGAUGAAGGCCCUAGGGUUGUAAAGCUCUUUUGUGCGGGAAGAUAAUGACGGUACCGCAAGAACAAGCCCCGGCUAACUUCGUG